rnacentral:rRNA from 1 species
AGCAGCCGCGGUAAUUCCAGCUCCAAUAGCGUAUAUUAAAGUUGUUGCAGUUAAAAAGCUCGUAGUUGAAUUUCGGGGUCAGCAGGUUGGUCGUGCCAAUGGUAUGCACUGGCCUUGCUGAUUCCUCCCUCUUGUAGAACCGUAAUGCCAUUAAGUUGGUGUUGCGGGGAAACAGGACUGUUACUUUGAAAAAAUUAGAGUGUUUAAAGCAGGCUAACGCCUGAAUACAUUAGCAUGGAAUAAUGAAAUAGGACGAUCGAUCCUAUUUUGUUGGUUUCUAGGAUUGACGUAAUGAUUAAUAGGGAUAGUUGGGGGCAUUAGUAUUCAAUUGUCAGAGGUGAAAUUCUUGGAUUUAUUGAAGACUGACUACUGCGAAAGCAUUUGCCAAGGAUGUUUUCAUUAAUCAAGAACGAAAGUUAGGGGAUCGAAGACGAUCAGAUACCGUGUAGU